CACGUAGUUAGCCGUGGCUUUCUGAUUAGGUACCGUCAAGACGUGCAUAGUUACUUACACAUUUGUUCUUCCCUAAUAACAGAGUUUUACGAUCCGAAGACCUUCAUCACUCGCGCGGCGUUGCUCCGUCAGGCUUUCGCCCAUUGCGGAAGAUUCCCUACUGCUGCCUCCCGUAAGAGUCUGGACCGUGUCUCAGUUCCAGUGUGGCCGAUCACCCUCUCAGGUCGGCUACGCAUCGUUGCCUUGGUAAGCCGUUACCUUACCAACUAGCUAAUGCGGCGCGGAUCCAUCUAUAAGUGACAGCAAGACCGUCUUUCACUGUUGAACCAUGCGGUUCAACAUGUUAUCCGGUAUUAGCUUCCGGUUUCCCGAAGUUACUACCCCUAGUCUUUAAGUAGGGUUAAGGUUAUCCCGAAGUUCGUUAACCUCACCCGUCCGCCGCUAACGGUCAGGAGGAGCAACGCUCCUCGUUCUGUUCGCUCCGAUUGCAUGUAUAGGCACCGCCGCCAGCGUU
rnacentral:rRNA from 1 species